rnacentral:rRNA from 1 species
AGUGAACGCUGGCGGUAGGCCUAACACAUGCAAGUCGAACGGCAGCACAGUAAGAGCUUGCUCUUACGGGUGGCGAGUGGCGGACGGGUGAGGAAUACAUCGGAAUCUACUUUUUCGUGGGGGAUAACGUAGGGAAACUUACGCUAAUACCGCAUACGACCUACGGGUGAAAGCAGGGGAUCUUCGGACCUUGCGCGAUUGAAUGAGCCGAUGUCGGAUUAGCUAGUUGGCGGGGUAAAGGCCCACCAAGGCGACGAUCCGUAGCUGGUCUGAGAGGAUGAUCAGCCACACUGGAACUGAGACACGGUCCAGACUCCUACGGGAGGCAGCAGUGGGGAAUAUUGGACAAUGGGCGCAAGCCUGAUCCAGCCAUACGGCGUGGGUGAAGAAGGCCUUCGGGUUGUAAAGCCCUUUUGUUGGGAAAGAAAAGCAGCAGGUUAAUACCCCGCUGUUCUGACGGUACCCAAAGAAUAAGCACCGGCUAACUUCGUG